rnacentral:rRNA from 1 species
CAGAUUGAACGCUAGCGGGAUGCCUUACACAUGCAAGUCGAACGGCAGCGCGAGAGAGCUUGCUCUCUUGGCGGCGAGUGGCGGACGGGUGAGUAAUAUAUCGGAACGUGCCCAGUAGCGGGGGAUAACUACUCGAAAGAGUGGCUAAUACCGCAUACGCCCUACGGAGGAAAGGGGGGGAUCGCAAGACCUCUCACUAUUGGAGCGGCCGAUAUCGGAUUAGCUAGUUGGUGGGGUAAAGGCUCACCAAGGCAACGAUCCGUAGCUGUUUUGAGAGGACGACCAGCCACACUGGGACUGAGACACGGCCCAGACUCCUACGGGAGGCAGCAGUGGGGAAUUUUGGACAAUGGGGGAAACCCUGAUCCAGCCAUCCCGCGUGUAUGAUGAAGGCCUUCGGGUUGUAAAGUACUUUUGGCAGAGAAGAAAAGGUAUCCCCUAAUACGGGAUACUGCUGACGGUAUCUGCAGAAUAAGCACCGGCUAACUACGUGCCAGCAGCCGCGGUAAUACGUAGGGUGCAAGCGUUAAUCGGAAUUACUGGGCGUAAAGCGUGUGUAGGCGGUUCGGAAAGAAAGAUGUGAAAUCCCAGGGCUCAACCUUGGAACUGCAUUUUUACUGCCGAGCUAGAGUAUGUCAGAGGGGGGUAGAAUUCCACGUGUAGCAGUGAAAUGCGUAGAUAUGUGGAGGAAUACCGAUGGCGAAGGCAGCCCCCUGGGAUAAUACUGACGCUCAGACACGAAAGCGUGGGGAGCAAACAGGAUUAGAUACCCUGGUAGUCCACGCCCUAAACGAUGUCAACUAGCUGUUGGGGCCGUUAGGCCUUAGUAGCGCAGCUAACGCGUGAAGUUGACCGCCUGGGGAGUACGGUCGCAAGAUUAAAACUCCAAGGCAUUGACGGGGACCCGCACAAGCG